AUUCUAAGAGUUUGAUAGUCUUAGAUCUGAUGUAUACUGUUCAAAGUUACAAUAUAAAUUGUAUAUGUAUUGUAACUAUUGUUAAAUGAUAUAAAGUGUGAAUUGUGUUAUAAUAAUUAUAUUGCAUCUCUUGCCUUUUAAGUAGGAUAUUUAUAUAGCAUAUAUUAAAACUAAGAACAUCUAUAGAUUAGCCUGGUAUGAGAUUAAAUCAUUCCUGGAAAAUGUUCAUAAAUGAAAUUCUUAUAUUGAAAUACUAUCCAAAUAUAUAAAACAAUGUAAAAAUGCAAUUUUUUGGGGGGAGAAGGUCCCUAAUAGAGGCCACCUGGUGGCCUGAAACUGUUGAUAUUAUCCAUGUUCAAUUUAGAAUUCCAUACCUACAAAUGCAUUUAAAGAAACCUGAUCCAGUCCAUCAAUCCCCAUCUAAGAAUAUCUCUUUUUUUCUUAAUGCCACUAUCCAAUUGUUUGCCAAUUACCAAGUAGUCCUAUUUCAAUUCCCAUUUUUAGCCCCACAUCUAUGGAGGGAUUAAUGAGACUAUAGAGAUGAGGAUCAAAAAAAUUGAACCUGGAUUUAUAAUCCUCAAAUUUCUUGAAUAUAUUGGGAUUUUUAUCUGUCUUCUAAUGGAAAACCAUAACAUUUCCAUGUAUCCAAUGCAGCCAGUUUUUAAUACCUGUUAGUAGGCUCAAUCAUGCAUGCUAUGAGUGGUUAGAGAUUUAUCUCAGGAAUGGCAUUACUGUUUACUAAUCUGUUUCCAGUUUUAUGCCAUUUUCCACUCAAAAGUAACUGUAUCCAAAAGUCAAUACUUAUUAUUUGAUCAUAUAUAG
rnacentral:lncRNA from 1 species